rnacentral:rRNA from 1 species
GUGCCAGCAGCCGCGGUAACACGUAGGGCGCAAGCGUUGUCCGGAAUUAUUGGGCGUAAAGAGCUCGUAGGCGGUUUGCUGCGUCCGCUGUGAAAACCCAGGGCUCAACCCUGGGCUUGCAGUGGAUACGGGCAGACUAGAGGUAGGUAGGGGAGAAUGGAAUUCCCGGUGUAGCGGUGAAAUGCGCAGAUAUCGGGAGGAACACCGGUGGCGAAGGCGGUUCUCUGGGCCUUACCUGACGCUGAGGAGCGAAAGCGUGGGGAGCGAACAGGAUUAGAUACCCCGGUAGUCC